rnacentral:lncRNA from 1 species
AACAUUGUCUCCUAUGCGAAUGUUAGCAAACUAUUCCCCACUUUCUCUUCUAUCAGGUUCGGUACAUAUCGUUUUAUGUUAAGGUCUUUGAUCCAUUUGUUUUUGAGUUUGAUUCAGAGUGCCCCCCUUUCAGGUACACCCAGUUCAUCCAUAACUGCUGGACAGACAGCUAUAGGUGGUGACAGAAUGAGGGGACUGAAAAGGGGGGGCACCCACUGAGAAACACUGUCUUUGGUGGAGCUCCACGAAAAAUGUAAGAAAAGUAACAGUAUCCUGCAUGGUGGAGAAGGUCCCCUCGAGACUCUCAAAUAACUGGACCUGCUGGAUGGGUAAAGUGGCACCAGACAUGGGGCAUGAGGUACGACCACCCUCCAGACAACGGAUUCAAGAGGUAUCGCACAGACAGUGAGACAGUUCCCCGCCACUUCGCUCCAGUGUCGCGGACGUUGAGAGGCCUCAACAGAUACAAAAAUAUGGAAAUUUUCCAAUGCAUCCUAUCAGACCACCAUGGAAUAAGGCUGAUCUUCAAUAACAACAUAAAUAAUGGAAAGCCAACUUUCACGUGGAAAAUGAUCAACACUCUUCUCAAUGAUACCUUGGUCAAGGAAGGAAUAAAGAAAGAAAUUAAGGACUUUUUAGAGUUUAAUGAAAAUGAAGUCACAACAUACCCAAACUUAUGGGACACAAUGAAAGCAUUCUAAGAAGGAAACUAAUAGCUCUGAGUGCCUCCAAAAAGAAACUAGAGAGAGCACACACUAGCAGCUUGACAACACACCUAAAAGCUCUAGAACAAAAGGAAGCAAAUUCACCCAAGAGGAGUAGAAGGCAGGAAAUAAUCAAACUCAGGGGCGAAAAACAAAAAGAACUAUUCAAGAAUCAACUAAACAAGGAGCUGGUUCUUUGAGAAAAAUCAACAAGAUAGAUAAACCCUUAGCCAGACUCACUAGAGGGCACAACGACAGUGUCCUAAUAAACAAAAUCAGAAAUGAAAAGGGAGACAUAAUGACAGAUCCUGAAGAACUCCAAAACACCAUCAGAUCCUUCUACAAAAGGCUAUACUCAACAAAACUGGAAAAUGUGGACGAAAUGGACAAAUUUCUAGACAGAUUCCAGGUACCAAAGUUAAACCAGGAUCAAGUUAAUGAUCUAAACAGUCCUAUAUCCCUUAAAGAAAUAGAAGCAGUCAUUAAUAGUCUCCAAACG